UUGGUGGCUUCCCUGCUCCCGGCUCCCAGCUUUUCAUCUCCUCUGUCCCCCAGCCUGGAUGAGUCUAAACGCUGAUCUUCAUUCUGUUGGGCACCAGGACAAUCAGCAUCACCUAGAGUUGGAAGCAGAUUCUAAGCCUGCUCCAGACCUGCAGAAGUCGUCUCCAUCUCCCCCUAAGGCCUCCGGCACCCACCACAGGUAGAGGAGCUUACAGAAACAGCGGCAGGGUCUGGCCCUCCCCUCCUCCACACACGCUCUGCUCUUUUCUCUCCCAGCAGGAGAGCGCAGGCUGCCUAGGAACCAGCAUGCGGUUUGGAAGCCAAGCGGUGCUCAUUUGGUUUUAUUUAUCUUCUUGGAGCUUCGUCUAUUUUGGGUCUCAGCCAUUCGGAAAAGGCUUGGGCUGUUUUACACUCGCCCAGGGUGGGGUGGGAGUGCUGGAGAGAAAGUUAACAUUCCUGUGCCCGUGCAUCGCGGUUGUAGGCUUGCCCAGCGGCAGGCCCAGUCUCCACCUGGCCGCCUGCCCAGUAAUCGAUGCGGACCAUCUGGGUCAGGCCCUUCCCGGGGCCGUAUCUGUUGUUCUCAAAACAGAAGAGAGCGCUGCCCUUUCCUUUAGAGAAGUUCUCUUCUGGGAGGAGCAGGGCUUCUCCCCACAGCAUGCCAUGCCUCCCUCCAGCACUCGGUGCAAGUCACACGGCGGCGUCAGGUGAUUCGGGCUAUGUGUUCCUGACCAAGGGUGGUUGGCCCAGCGUUGACACGUGACUGAAACUAGCCCUUCCGGUGGUCUGUGGAGCCGCUGGCACUGAGGCUGAAUGGAGUCUGUCCGAGGGAUUUGUAAACUGCAAUGACAUCCAAAGUGGUGGCUGGAGACGGCGCAGUGGUGAAGAACACCUGGUCCUCUUGCAGAGGCCGAGAGUUCAGCUCCUGCACCCACAGUGGGCAGUUCACAGCGGCCUGUUAACUCCAGCUCCAUGGCAUAUGGCGCCCUCUUCUGGCCUCCACGCGUAACUGCACUCAUGGAAGCCCACACAUCCACACACAAAAGUAAAAAUCUAAAGCAGGUAUUUUCAUAAGCGGAAGGACACUGGGCUACAUAUCUUCAUCUGUAAUGGAGGCAGCACUGAACUUCAAGGUUUCAAUCUCUGCGAACUUCGCUUCUUUACAUGGAGCAGACACUAGUAUUACUAAGACGUUAGUAUAAUCUGGCAGAGGUUUUUUUUUUUCCCCCAAAAAACAACUUUUAAGUUCCAUUUUCAAAAUUUUCUUCACUAUAUUUACUCCUUAAAAGCUUAAUUUUUAUAAAAUGUAAGUGAACUGCGGUGA